rnacentral:sRNA from 1 species
GCUUGGUGUGGUGGUGCACUCCUAUAAUCCCAGUGUCUGGGGAGGCUGAGACAGGAGGAUCCUGAGUUCAAAGCCAGCCUCAGCAAAAAGCGAGGUGCUAAGCAACUCAGUGAGACCCUGUCUCUA